CCGAGUUUACAACUCCCAAACCCCUGUGAAACAUACCACUUGUUGCCUCGGCGGAUCAGCCCGCUCCCGGUAAAACGGGACGGCCCCGCCAGAGGACCCCUAAACUCUGUUUCUAUAUGUAACUUCUGAGUAAAAACCAUAAAUAAAUCAA
rnacentral:misc_RNA from 1 species